GGCGAAAUAAUAGAAAUACGGAAUCAUAAUCCGUUGGUCCGGGGUUCAAAUCCCUGAUUCGCCA
rnacentral:tRNA from 1 species